rnacentral:rRNA from 1 species
CACGUAGGCGGCUUUUUAAGUCAGGGGUGAAAUCCUGGAGCUCAACUCCAGAACUGCCUUUGAUACUGAGAAGCUUGAGUUCGGGAGAGGUGAGUGGAACUGCGAGUGUAGAGGUGAAAUUCGUAGAUAUUCGCAAGAACACCAGUGGCGAAGGCGGCUCACUGGCCCGAUACUGACGCUGAGGUGCGAAAGCGUGGGGAGCAAACA